rnacentral:rRNA from 1 species
CCAGCAGCUGCGGUAAUUCCAGCUCUAAUAGCGUAUAUUAAAGUUGUUGCAGUUAAAAAGCUCGUAGUCGGAAGUCGGGCUCGGGCAGGCUGUCGGCCUCGGUUGGGCAGCUUGCUUGGGUCUUCUAGCUCGGGGGCCCCGUGCCAUUUAACCGUGGUGCGCGGGAACACGGGCCGUUUACUUUGAAAAAAUUAGAGUGUUCAAAGCAGGCCUACGCUUGAAUACAUUAGCAUGGAAUAAUGGAAUAGGACUUGGGUUCUAUUUCGUUGGUUUUAGGACCGAAGUAAUGAUUAAUAGGGACAGUUGGGGGCAUUAGUAUUUAAUUGUCAGAGGUGAAAUUCUUAGAUUUAUGAAAGACUAACUACUGCGAAAGCAUUUGCCAAGGAUGUUUUCAU